AUUGAACGCUGGCGGCAGGCCUAACACAUGCAAGUCGAGCGGAUGAAGGGAGCUUGCUCCUGGAUUCAGCGGCGGACGGGUGAGUAAUGCCUAGGAAUCUGCCUGGUAGUGGGGGAUAACGUCCGGAAACGGGCGCUAAUACCGCAUACGUCCUGAGGGAGAAAGUGGGGGAUCUUCGGACCUCACGCUAUCAGAUGAGCCUAGGUCGGAUUAGCUAGUUGGUGGGGUAAAGGCCUACCAAGGCGACGAUCCGUAACCGGUCUGAGAGGAUGAUCAGUCACACUGGAACUGAGACACGGUCCAGACUCCUACGGGAGGCAGCAGUGGGGAAUAUUGGACAAUGGGCGAAAGCCUGAUCCAGCCAUGCCGCGUGUGUGAAGAAGGUCUUCGGAUUGUAAAGCACUUUAAGUUGGGAGGAAGGGCAGUGAGUUAAUACCUUGCUGUUUUGACGUUACCAACAGAAUAAGCACCGGCUAACUUCGUG
rnacentral:rRNA from 1 species